rnacentral:ncRNA from 1 species
AUAAUUGGUUUGUGGCAGCCAAAAGUCCAGAGCGACGUUUCUUUUUGAUCCCUCGAUGUCGGUUCUUCCCAACAUCGAGAAGCAGAAUGUGCGAAGUGUUGACUGAUUGAGUGAAAACUGUUUACUCAUUAACGGAGGGAACGCGAGCUGCAGUUACACCCUCGUGAGAGAGGUC